rnacentral:tRNA from 1 species
GGACCUGUAGCUCAACUGGAUAGAGCGUCUGACUACGGAUCAGAAGGUUGGGGGUUCGACUCCUCCCAGGUUCA